rnacentral:lncRNA from 1 species
CUGUAAAGCAAAGAGGUUCCCGAUUAAACUGUGUUGAAGAAGAUUUCUCAGUGUGGCGUUGUUCUUGCUGGUCAAGGGUGGAUGCCGCAAGUGGUGGCCCGUAUGAGGAAUUCAGAACUUCUCACAGUCGGGGCGGCGCCGGUAAGUUCCCAAGGAUCAGCAAGACCCGGUGUGGAUUCCAGAGAGACUAACGAGGAGGUGCAACAAACAAGAUGAAGCCUCCGAUAUUGAUCCUGCUGCUGAUCUUGACAACACCGUGGCUGAUCCAGGCCAGAGAACAAAUCCUGAUGGCCAGCAAUUUCACGGAGAACAGCAACCUGAGUUGGCAGCUGAGUGCCUUCCUGCAGGGAAAUUGGAGUCAACAGUUCGAGAACCUGACAGACACCCUGACACAACAGAUUAUUGCCGUGAAUGCUACACGCCUGAGCCUGCCCACUGUUAAUACCCUCUUAACUACCCUUAAGCGAGCCUUUAGUUUAGUUAAGGAAUGGGCUGGAGUAGGGGUUAUGUUUUCCAUGAUGCUGUUGGCCAUUUUUGUUUGCCUGUGGUGCCUAUGUAGGGUCAGGAAGUCACAAAAAUCCCAAGCUGCCAUGUUGGUACAGGCCUUUGUUGCUGUGGAAGCAGGACAGUCCCCUCAAGCAUGGUUAUCCAUGCUGACAGACAAAUAGAUGUCUGUCUCGCCCUUGCUGGAUGCGUAUCUGAAUCAGUCAUGCUCAAUGACAGGCACCUACCCUCUUGCUGAGCGAAUAAGCAUACAUGUGUUCCCUUCAACCUAAGACAUGAGCCUGUGAGGGCAACACAGUGACUCUUUGACGGUAAGAUAGGGACACUGGGGUUGAACCUAAGACAGAGAUGACUGAAAUCUGACAACAGAUAGAUACUGCUACUCCUAUAAUAUUAAAAAAAAAAGGGUUUCCGCCCUCUGCCAGCCCGACGGCGAGCGCUCUCUCUG